GUAGUCUCGCACAGAUGCAUAUCAAUAAGCGGAGGAAAAGAAACUAACUAGGAUUCCCUCAGUAACGGCGAGUGAAGCGGGAAGAGCUCAAAUUUGAAAUCUUCAAGGUUCUACCUUGACGAAUUGUAGUUUAAAGAAGUGUUUUCUGUUGGAGUUUUGGUAAAAGUUCUUUGGAAUAGGACAUCAUAGAGGGUGAGAAUCCCGUAUUUGACCAUUAUUUCCAGCUUUGUGAUACACUUUCAAAGAGUCGGAUUGUUUGGGAAUGCAGUCCAAAAUGGGUGGUAAAUUUCAUCUAAAGCUAAAUACUGGCGAGAGACCGAUAGCGAACAAGUACCGUGAGGGAAAGAUGAAAAGAACUUUGAAAAGAGAGUUAAACAGUACGUGAAAUUGUCAAAAGGGAAGCGUUUGACACCAGUGUUGUUUUCUCGAAAAUCAAUUAAAAAAGGCAGGAUUUUGUGUUGUAUUGACUUUAUCAGCUUUCUGCACUCUUUUUUUGCCUUUUUUUAAUGCACUUUUCGUUUAACAAGUCAACAUCAAUUUCUUUUGUUGUAAAAGGGUCAUUGGAAGGUGGCUUUCUUUUCGGAGAAAGUGUUUAUAGCCUUUGGCCUCUGCAAUCGGAGAGAUUGAGGUCUGCAGCGUAGAUCCUUCGGGGUUAGAUACAUUUGUGCUAAGUUAUAGCCUUUCAUAGACAACUUGUUGACUAUGAUCAGUCAUGUAGCUUACUCGCUUAUGCUAUUUUACCUACGCUUAGGAUGUUGAAGUCAUCGUAUCGCGC
rnacentral:rRNA from 1 species